rnacentral:lncRNA from 1 species
AAAUGAUGUUCAGAUACUUUAAAAAAGAAAAAGUUGGACCAGCUUGAACAGCAGUAUGUUCGAGUCUAUGAAUGGAAAAGUUCUCUGCAAGAGAAUAAAUAUUAAGUUUCUGAAAACUGUCUCCUGAAAAUAACUAAUAGUAGCUGAAAUCUUUUGAGAUGAGAGGGGAAAAAGAACUUACUUCAUUUAAAUUACAUACUACAGAGUCAUCAAAUUGUUGAGGUUAGCAG